UACUUAACAGCUAGCUUCACUCAAAAAACAACAAAACACAAUAAAUAAACCCUAAUACACUAAUACUUAUAAAAUAAAACAUUCACCCAAUCAAGUAUAGGCGAUAGAAAAAUAAAUCUAAAGCAAUAGAAAAAGUACCGCAAGGGAACGCUGAAAAAGAAAUGAAAAAACUCAGUAAAGUUAAACAAAGCAAAGAUUAGUUCUUGUACCUUUCGCAUCAUGUAUUAGCUAGUUAUUACAAGCAAAGAGAACUUUAGUUUGAUACCCCGAAACUAAGUGAGCUACUUCAAGACAGCCUAUUUCAGGGCCAACCCGUCUCUGUGGCAAAAGAGUGGGAAGAACUUUAAGUAGAGGUGACAAACCUACCGAACUUAGUUAUAGCUGGUUGCCUGAGAACUGAAUAUAAGUUCAGCCUACUAGCUUCUUAACUCACAACUUAAACAGACCAAAAGAAACUAGAAGAGUUAAUCAAAGGGGGUACAGCCCCUUUGACAAAGACACAACUUUAAAUAGAAGGUUAAAGAUCAUAAUAAUCAAAGGCUAAAUAUUCCAGUAGGCUUAAAAGCAGCCACCUAAAAAGAAAGCGUCACAGCUCACAUAUAAUUACCACCAAUUAUACGGAUAAACCAAUCUUAAACCACUAAUACUAUCAGGCCUCUUCAUGCAAACAUGAAGGAGACAAUGCUAAUAUGAGUAAUAAGGGAAUAACUCCCUCCAAGCAUUAGUGUAAAUCGAAACGGAUUAACCAUCGAAAAUUAACGGGCCCAAACAAAGAGGGCAUUGAAUAACAAACAAAAAACCAGAAAUGUAUCCAAAAAUUAACCGUUAACCUCACACUAGAGUGCCAUAAAGGAAAGACUAACAUAAAAAGAAGGAACUCGGCAAACACAAGCCUCGCCUGUUUACCAAAAACAUCGCCUCUUGCAAACCCAAAAUAUAAGAGGUCCCGCCUGCCCUGUGACACAAAUUUAACGGCCGCGGUAUCCUGACCGUGCAAAGGUAGCGCAAUCACUUGUCUUUUAAUUGAAGACCUGUAUGAAUGGCAUAACGAGGGCUUAACUGUCUCCUUUCUACAGUCAAUGAAAUUGAUCUCCCCGUGCAGAAGCGGGGAUAACAACAUAAGACGAGAAGACCCUGUGGAGCUUUAGACACUAUGGGCAACCCAUACAAACACCCACAUAAAAGACACGAACCAAAUGUGAACCUGCCUUAAUAUCUUCGGUUGGGGCGACCAUGGGGUAACAAACAACCCCCAAGCGGAAUAGGAAUACUUUUUCCCAAAAUCAAGAAAUACAACUCAAAACAACAGAAAUUCUGACCAAAUGAUCCGGUAACACCGAUCAACGAACCAAGUUACCCCAGGGAUAACAGCGCAAUCCCCUUUAAGAGCCCAUAUCGACAAGGGGGUUUACGACCUCGAUGUUGGAUCAGGACCCCCCAAUGGUGCAGCCGCUAUUAAAGGUUCGUUUGUUCAACGAUUAAAGUCCUACGUGAUCUGAGUUCAGACCGGAGUAAUCCAGGUCAGUUUCUAUCUAUGUAAUGAUCUUUUCUAGUACGAAAGGACCGAAAAGAAGGAGCCCAUGUUACAAACACGCUCCUCCCCAAACCAAUGAAAUCAACUAAAUUGGCAUAAGGGCAUGACCCUUAUGUUAAAGAUCAUAACUU
rnacentral:rRNA from 1 species